AUACGGAGGAUGCAAGCGUUAUCCGGAUUUAUUGGGUUUAAAGGGUGCGUAGGCGGUUUGCUAAGCGGGAGGUGAAAUGCCGGCGCUCAACGUCGGAAGUGCCUCCCGAACUGGUGGACUGGAAUGACUCUGCCGUGGGAGGAAUGUGUAGUGUAGCGGUGAAAUGCUUAGAGAUUACACAGAACACCGAUUGCGAAGGCAUCUCACGAAAGGGCAACUGACGCUGAGGCACGAAAGCGUGGGGAUCAAACAGGCUUAGAUACCCUGGUAGUCCACGCUGUAAACGAUGAUGACUAACUGUCGGCGAUAUACAGUCGGUAGCCAAGCGAAAGCGAUAAGUCAUCCACCUGGGGAGUACGACCGCAAGGCUGAAACUCAAAGGAAUUGACGGGG
rnacentral:rRNA from 1 species